rnacentral:misc_RNA from 1 species
AAGUCGUAACAAGGUUUCCGUAGGUGAACCUGCGGAAGGAUCAUUAACACUUUUCAUCCCUAACUUAUCUGCAGAGAGGGCAGAGCGGCUCUUUUACUGGAGUUGCUUUGUUCUCUUUGUAGGUUACCAACCCCUUUGUGUGCACUUGUUGAGAGGAGCAUUAAGAGAACUUUUCAAACGGUUUUCUUAGUCAACUCCUUUUGCUUUUUUCUUACCUUUUACCUUUUUUUUUUACCCCUUUUCUAAUGCGAUAGACUGAAAUAAUAACCUUUUUGGAAGGGUUUAAAACAUCCAAAAGAGUAAUACAACUCUUAGCAACGGAUAUCUAGGCUCUC